CUUGGUCAUUUAGAGGAAGUAAAAGUCGUAACAAGGUUUCCGUAGGUGAACCUGCGGAAGGAUCAUUACUAGAGCAAAGGAUAGACAGCACCCGCGGAGCUCGCUCCCGGGGCUACCCUACUCCGGUAGGGUUUAGAGUCGUCGGGCCUCUCGCAGAAGCUCGGUCCUGAACUCCACCCUUGAAUAAACUACCUUUGUUGCUUUGGCGGGCCGCCUCGUGCCAGCGGCUUCGGCUGUUGAGUGCCCGCCGGAGGACCACAACUCUUGUUUUUAGUGAUGUCUGAGUACUAUAUAAUAGUUAAAACUUUCAACAACGGAUCUCUUGGUUCUGGCAUCGAUGAAGAACGCAGCGAAAUGCGAUAAGUAAUGUGAAUUGCAGAAUUCAGUGAAUCAUCGAAUCUUUGAACGCACAUUGCGCCCUCUGGUAUUCCGGGGGGCAUGCCUGUUCGAGCGUCAUUAUAACCACUCAAGCUCUCGCUUGGUAUUGGGGUUCGCGGUUUCGCGGCUCCUAAAAUCAGUGGCGGUGCCUAUCGGCUCUACGCGUAGUAAUACUCCUCGCGAUUGAGUCCGGUAGGUCUACUUGCCAGCAACCCCUAAUUUUUUUAAGGUUGACCUCGGAUCAGGUAGGGAUACCCGCUGAACUUAAGCAUAUCAAUAAGCGGAGGAAAAGAAACCAACAGGGAUUACCUCAGUAACGGCGAGUGAAGCGGUAACAGCUCAAAUUUGAAAGCUGGCUCUUUUAGGGUCCGCGUUGUAAUUUGUAGAAGAUGCUUCGGGUGUGGCCCCGGUCUAAGUUCCUUGGAACAGGGCGUCAUAGAGGGUGAGAAUCCCGUCCUUGACACAGACUACCAAUGCUUUGUGAUGCGAUCUCGAAGAGUCGAGUUGUUUGGGAAU
rnacentral:sRNA from 1 species